AACGAACGCUGGCGGCAGGCUUAACACAUGCAAGUCGAGCGCCCCGCAAGGGGAGCGGCAGACGGGUGAGUAACGCGUGGGAAUCUACCCAUCUCUACGGAAUAACGCAUGGAAACGUGUGCUAAUACCGUAUACGUCCUUCGGGAGAAAGAUUUAUCGGAGAUGGAUGAGCCCGCGUUGGAUUAGCUAGUUGGUGGGGUAAAGGCCUACCAAGGCGACGAUCCAUAGCUGGUCUGAGAGGAUGAGCAGCCACACUGGGACUGAGACACGGCCCAGACGCAUACGGGAGGCAGCAGUGGGGAAUAUUGGACAGUGGGCGCAAGCCUGUUCCAGCCAUGCCGCGUGAGUGAUGAAGGCCCUAGGGUUGUAAAGCUCUUUCACCGGUGAAGAUAAUGACGGUAACCGGAGAAGAAGCCCCGGCUAACUUCGUGCCAGCCGCCGCAGUAAUAC
rnacentral:rRNA from 1 species